UGCGUAGGCGGCCUAUUAAGUCAGUGGUGAAAGGUAUCAGCUUAACUGAUGACGUGCCAUUGAAACUGAUAGGCUUGAGUACAGACGAGGUAGGCGGAAUUUAUGGUGUAGCGGUGAAAUGCAUAGAUACCAUAAAGAACACCGAUAGCGAAGGCAGCUUACUAGACUGAGACUGACGCUGAGGCACGAAAGCGUGGGGAGCGAACAGGAUUAGAUACCCUGUAGUCC
rnacentral:rRNA from 1 species